UUGGUUCAGGAGAGGACCCAGGUGUGUGUGUGAGGCUGUGUUGGUUCAGGAGAGGACCCAGAUGUGUGUGUGAGGCUGUGUUGGUUCAGGAGAGGACCCAGGUGUGUGUGAGGCUGUGUCGGGGAGAGGAGAGGACCCAGGUGUGUGUGAGGCCCCAGGUGUGUGUGUGAGGCGUGUCGGGGGCGGUGCAUUAGCUGGGGCGGAUCUCCAAACUGAGACAGAAUGAGAAGCAGGUGUGAAAGUGGAGACGCCCUCUGACCUCGACGUGUGAACUUUGACCUCCAUCUUGCUAAUCCUCACUAGAGCAGGACCAGUCGAGGCCACAAUACAGUACUUCUAUCUCCCUCUUCCCACACACACACACGCGCACGCUCACGCUCUUGUGGAGCAGAAUGAAGUCUGAGCUCCAAGCUGUUCCGUUCCACGCUCACAAGCAGAACACACACCUAAAACCACGCCUAGCCGGCUAUAGACAUGUACGUGUUGCCCAGCCCCCCCCCCCCCCCCAAUCAGCGCUUCCCUCGGUUAGAACUUCAUUUAAAGGAACAUCACAGCUCUUUGAGGAUGACUUUUGUUCCUUGUGGCUAGAGGGUUCUGACCCUGGUCCUGGUGGGUGCGGCCGCGGAACCAGAGGCCCCCCUGGAGAACAUCUAAUCUCAGGGUUGGGGAACCAGAGGCCCCCCUGGAGAACAUCUAGUCUCUGGGUUGGGGAACCAGAGGCCCCCCUGGAGAACAUCUAGUCUCUGGGUUGGAUUCUGUCAGAGAUACUGUAAGAGAUUCCCUACACUAUUGUGUAAUCCCAUGACUGUUACACUGGGUGAGACACGAGCUAAGGAAUACCUGGGGAGCGGACUGGACCGGCGUUAACUUCACGUGUGUAUGGGGAGGGGGAGCGGACUGGACCGGCGUUAACUUCACGUGUGUAUGGGGAGGGGGAGCAGACUGGACCGGGGUUAACUUCACGUGUGUGUGUGUGUGGAGCGGACUGGACCGGGGUUAACUACACGUGUGUGUGUGGGGAGCGGAGCGGACUGGACCGGGGUUAAACACACGUGUGUAUGGGGAUCGGACUAGACUGUGGUUAAAUACACGUGUGUGUAUGGGGUGGAGAAAUGAAAUUCCUUAGAAGAGAAAAAAAGUGCAUAUUAUUAAAAAAAAAAAAAAAAAAAAAAAAAAAAAAAGAGAAAUAAGUAAAACCAAAACAUCCUGGAAGUAUUUGAGCGAUGAUGCCUUCCGGUGAUUAUUCAGUCCAGAUACGUCUUUCAGAAGCAGCAGCAGCAAAAGGUGAUUGUGGUUAACUACAGUAUAAUCUUGCAGUGUGAUUAACAUGUUUUAAGGAUUGGCAUCUCAUACCCCACUGUGGGCGCCCGCCCCCCCCGCCCCCCGCCCCCUGCCCCCCGCCCACAGACUCACUCUGCUCAGGGCAAUCAAGUAUCCAUUACACAUCUUACCCCAGAACACAAUUACCUUAUCAUUUACUUAGCGCUGUGUGCUACACACAUCAAAUCGGAGAGAGGGGAAGAAACUACUCCUGCGGAGAAUCGCUCAAACCCUCACACACACACACACACACACACACACAACUCUGCCCUGAGCCACGGAUGUGUGUGUGUGGCGUCCCUCGGAUACCUCCCAUCACCUACGCAUCGCUACGGUAACAGGCGGCACGACGACACGCACCACUUGUCUCCUAGGGGAAACCGGGGGAAAGACUGAUACUGCGUCUAACAGCGUGGCUGC
ensembl:lncRNA